AUUGAACGCUGGCGGCAUGCCUUACACAUGCAAGUCGAACGGCAGCACGGGUGCUUGCACCUGGUGGCGAGUGGCGAACGGGUGAGUAAUAUAUCGGAACGUACCUUAUUGUGGGGGAUAACGCAGCGAAAGCUGUGCCAAUACCGCAUAAUCCCUAAGGGGGAAAGCGGGGGGCCGUAAGGCCUCGCGCAAUUAGAGCGGCCGAUACCUGAUUAGCUAGUUGGUGAGGUAAAGGCUCACCAAGGCAACGAUCAGUAGCUGGUCUGAGAGGACGAUCAGCCACACUGGGACUGAGACACGGCCCAGACUCCUACGGGAGGCAGCAGUGGGGAAUUUUGGACAAUGGGGGCAACCCUGAUCCAGCAGUGCCGCGUGAGUGAAGAAGGCCUUCGGGUUGUAAAGCUCUUUUGUCAGGGAAGAAACAGCAGCUCUAACACAGUUUGCGAAUGACGGUACCUGAAGAAUAAGCACCGGCUAACUACGUGCCAGCCGCCGCCGUAA
rnacentral:rRNA from 1 species